UACGUAGGGGGCAAGCGUUGUCCGGAAUCAUUGGGCGUAAAGAGCGUGUAGGCGGCCCGAUAAGUCCGCCGUGAAAGUCCAGGGCUCAACCCUGGAAUGCCGGUGGAAACUGUCGGGCUGGAGUCCGGAAGAGGCGAGUGGAAUUCCUGGUGUAGCGGUGAAAUGCGUAGAUAUCGAGAGGAACACCUGCGGCGAAGGCGGGUCUCUGGGCCGAUACUGACGCUGAGGAGCGAAAGCGUGGGGAGCGAACAGG
rnacentral:rRNA from 1 species